CCAGCCCCAGAGGAUUAUCACAAAAUUAUAAAACAGCCUAUGGACGUGGGUACUAUUAAAAGGAGACUUGAAAACAGUUAUUAUUGGGCUGCCUCAGAGUGUAUGGAAGAUUUAAAUACCAUGUUCACCAACUGUUACAUUUACAACAAGCCCACUGAUAAUAUUGUCGUAAUGGCACAAACGCUGGAAAAGAUCUUCCUACAGAAAGUUGCAUCAAUGCCACAAGAAGAACAAGAACUGGUGGUGACCAUCCCUAAUAACAGCCACAAGAAGGGGGCCAAGUUGGCAGCACUCCAGGACAGUGUUACUCGUGCUCAUCAGGUGUCUGCCAUCUCUUCUGUGUCACACACAGCCCUGUAUACUCCCCCACCUGAGAUACCUACCACGGUCCUCAACAUUCCCCACUCAUCAGUCAUUUCCUCUCCACUUUUCAAGUCCCUGCACUCUGCUGAAACCCCUCUCCUUGCUGUUACUGCAGCUCCUCCAGCUCAACCCCUUGCCAAGAAAAAAGGUAUAAAGCGGAAAGCAGUUACUACCACCCCUACACCUACAGCCAUCCUGGCUCCUGGUUCCCCAGCUAGCCAUCCUGGGAGUCUUGAGCAUAAGGUAGCACGGGUUCCCGCAUGCCCCCAUCAAGCCUGCACGCAAAGACUUGCCUGACAUAUCAGCAACAAGACCAGAGCUCUAAGAAAGGAAAGCUUUCAGAACAAUUAAAACAUUGCAAUGGCAUAUUGAAGGAGUUACUCUCUAAGAAGCAUGCAGCCUAUGCUUGGCCUUUGUAUAAACCAGUGGAUGCUUCUGCACUUGGCCUGCGUAACUACCACGACAUCAUGAGGCACCCCAUGGACCUCAGCAAUGUCAAGAAAAUGGAGAACCCUGAUUACCGAGAUGCACAGGAGUUUGCUGCUGAUGUACUGCUUAUGUUUUCCAACUGCUAUAAGUACAGUCCCCCAGAUCACCCCCAGAUUUUGUGGUAGUGGCACGAAAGCUACAGGAUGUAUUUGUUUCCGUUAUGCCAAGAUGCCAGAUGAACCACUGGAACCAGGGCCUUUACCAGUCUCUACUGCCAUGCCCCUUGGCUUGGCCAAAUCAUCUUCAGAGUCCUCCAGUGAGGAAAGUAGCAGUGAGAGCUCCUCUGAGGAAGAGGAGGAGGAAGAUGAGGAGGACGAGGAGGAAGAAGAAGAGAGCUAAAGCUCAGACUUAAAGGAAGAAAGGGCUCAUGGCUUAGCAGAACUACAGGAACAGCUUUGGGCAGUACAUGAACAACUGGUUGGUCUGUGUCAGGAUCCAAUAUCCAAGCCCAAGAGCAAAAGAGAGAAAAAAGAGAAAAGUAAGAAACAAAAGGCAGGGAAGCAUUGAGACGGAGCUGGGGCUCAUGAAGAUGACAAGGGCCCUUGGGCAUCCCGCCCACCUUAGCCCAAGAAGUCCAAGAAAGCAAGUGGUAGUGGGGGUGGCAGUGCUGCUUUAGGCCCUCCUGGCUUUGGACCUUCUGGAGGAAGUGGCACCAAGCUCCCCAAAAAGGCCACAAAGUCAACCCCACCUGCCCUGCCUAAGGGUUAUGAUUCAGAGGAGGAGGAAGAGAGCAGUCCCAUGACUUACAAUGAGAAGUGGCAGCUGAGCCUGGACAUCAGCGAAUUACCUGGGGAGAAGCUGGGCUGAGUUGUGCAUAUAAUCCAAGCCAGGGAGCCCUCUUUACGUGGUUGAAACUCAGAAGAGAUUGAGAUUGGUUCUGAAACACUCAAGCCAUCCACACUUAGAAAGCUUGAGCUCUAUGUCCUUUCCUGCAUACGUAAGAAACCCCGGAGGCCCUAUACCAUUAAGAAGUCUGUGGGACAGACAAAGGAGGAACUCACUUUGGAGAAAAAGCAGGAAUUAGAAAAGUGGUUACAAGAUGUCAGCAGACAACUCAAUUCCCCUAAAAAGUCCCCCAAAGAAAGUGAGUGAGAAAACAGAGUCAUCCUCUGCACAGCAAGUAGCAGUGUCAUGCCUUAGCUCAAGCUCAGAUUCCAGCUCCUCCUCCUCAUCGUCCCCUUCUUCAGACACCAGUGAUUCAGACUCAGGCUAAGGGGUCAGGUCAGAUAGGGCAGGAAGGCUCCGCAGGACGGGACCCCUAGACCACCCUGUCCCACAUGCCCCUGUCCUCCUUUGCUAUGACACUUCUUCAUCUCACCCCCUUACCCCCGACUAGGAGAGCUGGCUCUGCAGUCAGGGAGAGAUGCAGGGACAUUUACUGAAGGAGGGACGUGGACAAAAUAAUAUUGAAUCCCCAGCCCCACUGGGGAGUGAUCUCUUGGAACAUAGAGCCCCCAUUCAAAAUGACUGGGGCGGGGCAAAUACAUUUUUAAAUAUUAUUGAGACAUGAAUUAUGAAGGGCAGGCAGUCAUCUCUAUUCAUUCAAAUAUGUGUGGACAUAUUCUUUUGUUCAUUUUUUUCAAAUUUUAAUUUUUUUCAACUUUUAGGUUCAUGAAUACAUCUGCAGAUUUGUUAUACAGGUUCAUGGGUACAUGUGCAGGUUUGUUAUACGGGUAUGUCAUGGGGGUUUGGUGUACAGACUACAUCAUCACUCAGGUAAUAAACAUAGCACCUGAUAGGUAGUCUUUUGAUCCUCUCCCUUCUCCUAGCCUUCACCCUCAAGUAGGCCCUGGUGUCUGUUCCCUUCCUUGUGUUCUUGUGUACUAAAUGAUUAGCU